rnacentral:rRNA from 1 species
GGAUUGAACGCUGGCGGCAGGCCUAACACAUGCAAGUCGAGCGGUAGAGAGGUGCUUGCACCUCUUGAGAGCGGCGGACGGGUGAGUAAUGCCUAGGAAUCUGCCUAGUGGUGGGGGAUAACGUUCGGAAACGGACGCUAAUACCGCAUACGUCCUACGGGAGAAAGCGGGGGACCUUCGGGCCUCGCGCCAUUAGAUGAGCCUAGGUCGGAUUAGCUAGUUGGUGAGGUAAUGGCUCACCAAGGCGACGAUCCGUAACUGGUCUGAGAGGAUGAUCAGUCACACUGGAACUGAGACACGGUCCAGACUCCUACGGGAGGCAGCAGUGGGGAAUAUUGGACAAUGGGCGCAAGCCUGAUCCAGCCAUACCGCGUGGGUGAAGAAGGCCUUCGGUGUAAAGCCCUUUGUUGGGAAGAAAAGCAAUCGGUUAAUACCCGGUUGUUCUGACGGUACCAAAGAAUAAGCACCGCUAACUCGUGCCAGCAGCCGCGGU